rnacentral:snRNA from 1 species
AUGCUCCGGCUUCUCUUCAGAUCGUAAAAAGCUUUCGCCUUUUACUAAAGAUUUCCGCGGAGAGGAGCGGUCAGGAGCUUUCGCCUCAAUUUUUUUAGGCUCUGCUUCGGUGGAGCU